AAACGGGCCAAUCCAGGUUCCCUGAGGGAUCCUCUGAGCUGCACAGAUCCCGUAACCCAGACCAGGAACUGUGCUGGUGCACAGACACACCUGCACACAGAGGUCAAAACAACGUGACACCAGCAGCUGCAGUCAGCUAAAGUUCAUCAACCAAAAUGACCCACACCUGUUUGAGCCCAGUUACUGUGAUUGACAUUGUGUGUGGCCAAUAAAAAAUAAGCAUUCCUCGGGCUUGGACCAGUUAAAUGUCAGGAAGGAGAGAUGAAUGGACUUCACCCGGAUACAAAGCAGAGGUAGCCAUGAUGAAGUUAGAGGCUGUAUUUAGGAAGUGGGGGUCACCUCUCUGGGCAGGUCUCUCAGCCAAUCGGGGAUGUCUGGUAGGGUGACAGGUGCUGCCGUGCUGCUGGUGCCGACGAGCCGGCGCAGAGAGUGAAGA